ACAGGUGAAGGCAACUCCACCAGAAGUGGUGGAGCCUGGCUGCAACUCUCCUAGAUCCCAUUUAAGUGCUGACUGCCACUGAGGAAGGACCUGUGUCUGGAGAUUGCUCCUUGUGGAGUUUCACUGUGAGCCUAUGACAGUAACACAAGCUUAUCUCAUGUUUCUGAAGCUAAGCACUGUGUACUCAGUUGCACCAUUUAUGGGAGUAAUCCUCAUAGUAGCCCGGUGUAGUUGAACAAGCUGCUUGUUGAGAUGCCUGAAAGCAAAUGCACAGAGUUCAUGGAUUCAGUUAUCUUCAAGCUGUGUGACUGUGUCCAGUCAAAGAGAAGAAUAUCUGUUGCAUUGGUUUUCCCUAGCAGUGUUGCAGGAGAUCAGUCCAAUCUGAAUUCUCUGCUGUCCAGUGACAAGGACUGCCAACAGACUGCAAGCUCGGGCUUUACAGGCCAGUGGUGGAGCUAACAGGGAGGCCUUUAGGAUUUCAAAAAGGAAUGAGAAGGCUGAGAAUCAGGUGCUCUGUUUGAUGUUUUCACUGGCUGUCCUACCUAAGGAUUCUGUCUGUCUAUAGGCAUGUUGAACUGAUUAGUCUGCAGCUUGGUGCUUACAACUUCAGUUCUUUAUGAUACCAGAGCUGCAGCACUUGCUGCCCAGACCAAAUACAUGUAUUGUUGGAGGAAAUUCUCUAUGCAUUUUUUUUUAUGGUUUUAAAGUGUGAGGGUGGUAUAUGCUUUCAAACAAGUAAUGUCUAGAAGAAAUGUACUUUUUUCCUUUUUUCCUUUUUUUCUUUUUAAUUUUUUUUCUUGAGCAGAGGUUUAGAGAAAUGUGGAUGCUUUCUUCUCUGCUGCUAUGUUUCCCAUAGUGGUAUUGUAGGAAUGGCUUUUGUCUUGAUUGCUUACUUUAUUAUUUUAAAUACUGAAGGAAAUAUACCAUUCUUUUUCUUCUGCUUAUGUAAAACUCCCUUUGUUUCCUUUGUGGAUUUGAAUUGUGCUCUGGAACAAAAUGUACAGCUGGAUCUGGAACAGUUGCCAAAGAGGAGUACGCAGGCAGGUGGUGCUGGUGCUUCCCAGAGGGAGAUCAUAAAGUUCCUUGCCUCAUCACAGAGUAUUCUCAUACUACUCUUAUAUAGCAUUGCAUGUUACUGCUGUACUGAGACUUUUAUGACAAAUCCAUUACCUGUUUCCCAAGGGGGAUGCUGAGAAACACACCUCAUGAUGACGUAUACAUACCUCAUGUUUCACAUUAGUUCUUCCUUUGUGUCAAAUUAGACCAAAUUCUCGAGACUGUACCUGGGAACCCCACUGUUAUUAAAAUGGUUCAGCCUGUGGUCAGAAUGCCCUGCGGCAGAUCCUGGCACUGGUUGUGAAUGAAAGAACUGAUGACAAAUCGCAUGAUAUCAAGAAAGAUCCAGUGGAUAUUUACAAGCCUUGGGGGACCCGGAUGGGUUCUCAGAGGGGUGAGGCCAGUACCUGGAAGCUGUUACUGCUACGUUUCUUCUAAGAGUUGCGCGGCUGUUUUGUGUUUCUCUUCUGUGAUGUUGAUUGUGUUUGUGCAUAAGAAGCUUUUAGUGUUUUCUGUAUAUAGUACUGGCCUUUACUGAACUUAUAACCCUCUUGUGAAAUAGCUGUUUU